AAAAAAAAGUGUCGUUCUUAUUAUUUUUUCAUAUUUUUUUUGUCUUCUGUGUUCUUAUAGAUCUCAUCUUAUUCGAAAACAUUGUAUCUUAUAAGUUCUUGAAAUUUGGGUUGCAUAAAGGAGAAAUAUAUGUACUUCGAUAAAGUCGUGUGGAAAAAUUCGUUUUCUUGUCUCUUUGCAUUCCUUGCAAUAUGUCACAAAGGAGAUCAACCAAAUCUAUGCUCCAUCAAGCACAAAAAUACAUUGUGAGACCCACAAAGAUCCAUUUUCGAUAGCUUUUCAAGGAAAUUUGGAUGAAAUCCACCGGUCUAUGAAACACAUGUCUAAAUUACGUCAAGAGUUGAAUUUAUGAGACCAAAUAAGUGUGAGACAAAUUGUACAACCUAUUCAAAAAGAGGAAGAUUAUCUUAUGCCCGCUAGACAAUGUUUCAAAAUGAUGGUAUUGUUACGGAUGACGUGGAGACCAGCAAAGACAGUAUGCAAGUAUAUGUUGUUCCAUGUCCAUUAGAGAUAGAAAGUGAAAGAAAGUGAAAAGGCGAAAGAGUGUGAGAGAACAAUGUUUGAUAUAUGAAAUUAAAAUGCUUAUUGAAAAGCAAGAUUCAAUAAUUGAUUCUUAUUCGAGCCAACAUCGAAUUAUGGACAAAACAAGACCAAUGAGCUACACAAGAAACGACACUCCCAUUCCACUUUUACAUCCAUGCUAUGACCUAAAGAUAAAAGUGAAGACCUCAAGAAGAUUAAGACCACGAAAUGCAAAUGAUUUUAAGUUUGCAUUACAAGGGGAUCAAUUGGAUUCAAGGAUGAAUCCUCUUGAAGAAGGGAAGAACGGUACGAAAUAAGAUGUCUUGAUCAUGCCACAAAGACUUCAGGGUGGAUAACAAAAUUGUACCAUCCAUAUUUGGAUUUAGGGAUGUUUCGUUGUAUUUUUCAGUUUUAGAGUAUUAUUUUUAAGGUUUUAAGUUGCAAUUAGUUCGUCAUUAUGGUAUUGAUGGGCAUGAGAGGUUACUAUAAGGUUUA